GAUGAACGCUGGCGGCGUGCCUAAUACAUGCAAGUCGAGCGAACAGACGAGGAGCUUGCUCCUCUGACGUUAGCGGCGGACGGGUGAGUAACACGUGGAUAACCUACCUAUAAGACUGGGAUAACUUCGGGAAACCGGAGCUAAUACCGGAUAAUAUAUUGAACCGCAUGGUUCAAUAGUGAAAGACGGUUUUGCUGUCACUUAUAGAUGGAUCCGCGCCGCAUUAGCUAGUUGGUAAGGUAACGGCUUACCAAGGCAACGAUGCGUAGCCGACCUGAGAGGGUGAUCGGCCACGCUGGAACUGAGACACGGUCCAGACUCCUACGGGAGGCAGCAGUAGGGAAUCUUCCGCAAUGGGCGAAAGCCUGACGGAGCAACGCCGCGUGAGUGAUGAAGGUCUUCGGAUCGUAAAACUCUGUUAUUAGGGAAGAACAAAUGUGUAAGUAACUAUGCACGUCUUGACGGUACCUAAUCAGAAAGCCACGGCUAACUACGU
rnacentral:rRNA from 1 species